CAGCCGCCGCGGGAAUACGGAGGGUGCAAGCGUUAUCCGGAUUCACUGGGUUUAAAGGGUGCGUAGGCGGAUCUGUAAAUCAGUGGUGAAAUCUCCAGGCUUAACCUGGAAACUGCCGUUGAUACUAUAGGUCUUGAAUUUUGUGGAGGUUAGCGGAAUAUGUCAUGUAGCGGUGAAAUGCAUAGAUAUGACAUAGAACACCAAUUGCGAAGGCAGCUGGCUACACAACUAUUGACGCUGAGGCACGAAAGCGUGGGGAUCAAACAGGAUUAGAGACCCCGGUAGUCCCUGUCUCUUAUAC
rnacentral:rRNA from 1 species